rnacentral:rRNA from 1 species
CCUACGGGAGGCAGCAGUGGGGGAUAUUGGACAAUGGGGGAAACCCUGAUCCAGCGACGCCGCGUGAGUGAAGAAGUAUUUCGGUAUGUAAAGCUCUAUCAGCAGGGAAGAAAGAAAUGACGGUACCUGAGUAAGAAGCCCCGGUUAACUACGUGCCAGCAGCCGCGGUAAUACGUAGGCGGCAAGCGUUAUCCGGAAUUAAUGGGUGUAAAGGGAGCGUAGACGGGAAGGCAAGUCUGGAGUGAAAGUCGGGGGCUCAACCCCCGGACUGCACUUGAAACUGGGUAACUGGAGUGCAGGAGAGGCAGGCGGAAUUCCUGGUGUAGCGGUGAAAUGCGUAGAUAUUAGGAGGAACACCGAUUGCGAAGGCAGCCUGCUGGACUGUCACUGACGUUGAGGCUCGAAAGCGUGGGGAGCAAACAGGAUUAGAUACCCCGGUAGUC